rnacentral:rRNA from 1 species
CAGCGCGGGGAGUAAUCUCUGGCGGCGACCGGCGCACGGGCGCGUAACACGUAUGCAAUCUGCCUGUAAGAGUGGGAUAACCCGGAGAAAUUCGGACUAAUACCGCAUAAUACUUUAGUAUCGCAUGAUACAAAAGUUAAACAUUUAUGGCUUACGGAUGAGCAUGCGCAUGAUUAGUUAGUUGGUGAGGUAACGGCUCACCAAGGCAUCGAUCAUUAGGGGUUCUGAGAGGAAGGUCCCCCACACUGGAACUGAGACACGGUCCAGACUCCUACGGGAGGCAGCAGUGAGGAAUAUUGGUCAAUGGACGGAAGUCUGAACCAGCCAAGUCGCGUGAAGGAUGACUGCCCUAUGGGUUGUAAACUUCUUUUUUACAGGAAUAAAGUGCGUCACGUGUGGCGUUUUGUAUGUACUGUACGAAUAAGGAUCGGCUAACUCCGUGCCAGCAGCCGCGGUAAUACGGAGGAUCCGAGCGUUAUCCGGAUUUAUUGGGUUUAAAGGGUGCGUAGGCGGGGUAAUAAGUCAGUGGUGAAAGUUUGCAGCUCAACUGUAAAAUUGCCAUUGAAACUGUUAUUC